rnacentral:rRNA from 1 species
AUUGAACGCUGGCGGCAUGCCUUACACAUGCAAGUCGAACGGCAGCACGGGAGCAAUCCUGGUGGCGAGUGGCGAACGGGUGAGUAAUGUAUCGGAACGUACCUUUCAGUGGGGGAUAACGUAGCGAAAGUUACGCUAAUACCGCGUAUUCUGUGAGCAGGAAAGCAGGGGAUCGCAAGACCUUGCGCUGAUUGAGCGGCCGAUAUCAGAUUAGCUAGUUGGUGAGGUAAAGGCUCACCAAGGCGACGAUCUGUAGCGGGUCUGAGAGGAUGAUCCGCCACACUGGAACUGAGACACGGUCCAGACUCCUACGGGAGGCAGCAGUGGGGAAUUUUGGACAAUGGGCGCAAGCCUGAUCCAGCCAUGCCGCGUGAGUGAAGAAGGCC